GUCUUUCAGAUGGAAAUAAGACCUGUCAUGAUCAGCAGCUUCUACCAAAAGUGUGGACGUCCCUCCACCUCAGCAGCCAGCCUGCCUCUGGUGAAUCAUGUGACCUUACACAUCAGGUGUAAUUAGAGGAGCAAUCCGACAGCAAGAAAGAGCUGCACCAUGAAUGGCCUGGCCCAAAGCCUAUCCAGCUGCUGACAGCCUUGGCUGGACCCUGGACAUGUCAUUCAUCUGCCACCCUCCCACUAGCAGUCUUUUGUUUGGUAUUAGAAUGUGGUAUCUAUUUUGUAAUGAUAGACUUGACAUAGUGUUGUGGGAAU